rnacentral:tRNA from 1 species
CGAGUAGGCGGCAGGUUGUAGCCCUGUGCAGGCGGGUUUAAGCCCCGUUCUUACCA